rnacentral:rRNA from 1 species
CCUACGGGUGGCAGCAGUGAGGAAUAUUUGUCAAUGGGCGAGAGCCUGAACCAGCCAAGUAGCGUGAAGGAUGACUGCCCUACGGGUUGUAAACUUCUUUUAUAAGGGAAUAAAGUGAGGCACGUGUGCCUUUUUGUAUGUACCCUAUGAAUAAGGAUCGGCUAACUCCGUACCAGCAGCCGCGGUAAUACGGAGGAUCCGAGCGUUAUCCGGAUUUAUUGGGUUUAAAGGGAGCGUAGAUGGGUUGUUAAGUCGGUUGUGAAAGUUUGCGGCUCAACCGUAAAAUUGCAGUUGAGACUGGCAGUCUUGAGUAAAGUUGAGGUAGGCGGAAUUCGUGGUGUAGCGGUGAAAUGCUUAGAUAUCACGAAGAACUCCGAUUGCGAAGGCAGCUUACUGGACUGCCACUGACAUUGAGGCUCGAAAGUGUGGGUAUCAAACAGGAUUAGAUACCCUUGUAGUC